GACGAACGCUGGCGGCGUGCCUAAUACAUGCAAGUAGAACGCUGAAGGAGGAGCUUGCUCUUCUGGAUGAGUUGCGAACGGGUGAGUAACGCGUAGGUAACCUGCCUGGUAGCGGGGGAUAACUAUUGGAAAUGAUAGCUAAUACCGCAUAACAGUAGAUGUUGCAUGACAUUUACUUAAAAGGUGCAAUUGCAUCACUACCAGAUGGACCUGCGUUGUAUUAGCUAGUUGGUGGGGUAACGGCUCACCAAGGCGACGAUACAUAGCCGACCUGAGAGGGUGAUCGGCCACACUGGGACUGAGACACGGCCCAGACUCCUACGGGAGGCAGCAGUAGGGAAUCUUCGGCAAUGGACGGAAGUCUGACCGAGCAACGCCGCGUGAGUGAAGAAGGUUUUCGGAUCGUAAAGCUCUGUUGUAAGAGAAGAACGAGUGUGAGAGUGGAAAGUUCACACUGUGACGGUAUCUUACCAGAAAGGGACGGCUAACUACGUG
rnacentral:rRNA from 1 species